CGUGGGUUUUUUUGGUGAUAGACAAAUGUGUCCCAUUUCAAAAAUGGCAACAUCAUUUUUUUUUUACACACACUCUUGUGAGUAAGAAUUGAAACCACAGAGACAGAAGGUGUAGCUACUCGUUCGUUCUGGUGCUGGCCCUUAAUAAGUUUUUGCUGAGGGAAUCAAGGGAUCAGUUAAUGAAUUUGGGAACCAAAGGAAAGCUGUUCCCUGUCUUGUGUGAGAUGCUGGGUAUAUGAAAAUGUAUAACUCAGGGUCCCGCCCUGAGCAGCUCACUCUGCUGAUGGGAGCCAGACCCACAGAUAGAGAAUGACUCCAAUGUAACUGAGUCCUAAGAUCAUACAGUAUUCCUGCUUUAGUUCCUCCUGAAGCUCCUCCUGUCUCAGGUGCUCCCACACAGUAAAACCUAAUCCCUUCCUUCAAACGUUCACAGUCUGGUCCAGAGGACAAGCAUGAAGCGUGGAAAGCACAAGACCACGCGGAAAGCAAAACCGAAAUACAUACCCUGCGGAGAGGCUGCGCGCUGUGAUUUCAUCAUACAGACCCUGGCAUCAGACUGCUUGAGUUCACAAAGCUGUGUGACCUUAGACAAGACGCGUAGCCUCUCUGGGCUUUAAUCAUUCCAUGUGUAAAAUGAGGACACAGCUGAGCCCUAUCUUACAGGAUUGUUAGGAGGAGGAAUCGGGUUCAUAUCUGUAAAACACUCAGAAUAGUGCCAAGCUCGUACCAAGAAUCAUGAUAAAUAUAUGUGAAAUCAGUCUUUCCUGUAUUCUUUGAAUUUUAAGCUCUCAUUAAGAACUCUGUGUUUGGCUUUCUCUUUGCUCAAGAUUAUUCUCCCCAAGAUAAGACGCUUGACCAAAUGCAACUCCAAAGCUGUGGACGAAGGUUAAGAAGGGAAGGAGAGCCACUGACCCAAGAACAGACGUGCCGUCCCCGAACAGCCUGCCUCCCCUGGGCUUCCUUCCGUUCCAGGCUGCCUGUCUCCAACUUCAGCUCUUCUCCCAGCCUUUCCCGAACACGCGUGCCCCGGCCCACCUUCCCAGGACUGUGUGCCGGGUGACAGCCCGUCACUGUGCGCACCAAGUCAACAGACCCGCAUGACCAGCCCCUCCAGCACGCCAGCAGCACCUACGUGUUUAAUCUGGAUUCUGAUAGCUGCCUCAAUUUCAGUAUCUCCCGUGGGCGCCGCAUACAAACAGUCCUCCGUGGCCACUGGCAGAAAUUCUUAGAAAAACAAUCCUUCUGGUCGUUGGAGUCACAACUACUACCACUUUCGCUCCCUGCCUCCCCGUCACCGAAGAGGCUGUUUUGACUCAGACCACAGGGGCCCGUGUGGACCACAUGCAGUCCGAGUGUGCGGGGGACAAUGGGCGCUCCUUUGCUGGCCGCCGGUGUCAUUUCAGACCCUGCUGGACAGAUGGGCUCCGUUCCGAGUGGGGAAGAACCACGCCUGGCAGAGGACAGUUUCGACAGGGCCAUCUCCUCGCCCACACAA